rnacentral:rRNA from 1 species
CGACGAUCCGUAGCUGGUCUGAGAGGAUGAUCAGCCACACUGGGACUGAGACACGGCCAGACUCCUACGGGAGGCAGCAGUGGGAAUUUUGGACAAUGGGCGAAAGCCUGAUCCAGCCAUGCCGCGUGAGUGAAGAAGGCCUUCGGGUUGUAAAGCUCUUUCAGACGGAAGAAAUUGCCUGGGUGAAUAUCCCGGGUAGAUGACGGUACCGUAAGAAGAAGCACCGGCUAACUACGUGCCAGCAGCCGCGGUAAUACGUAGGGUGCGAGCGUUAAUCGGAAUUACUGGGCGUAAAGCGUGCGCAGGCGGUUACAUAAGACAGAUGUGAAAUCCCCGGGCUUAACCUGGGAACUGCGUUUGUGACUGUGUGACUAGAGUACGGUAGAGGGGGGUGGAAUUCCUGGUGUAGCAGUGAAAUGCGUAGAUAUCAGGAGGAACAUCGAUGGCGAAGGCAGCCCCCCUGGACCUGUACUGACGCUCAUGCACGAAAGCGUGGGGAG